GCUGGUUUAGCUCAGUGGCUAGAGCAUAGGCCUUCAGACUGAAGGCUCCUGGGUUCAAUUCCAGGAAAGGGCA
rnacentral:tRNA from 1 species